GCCAUGCCGCGUGUGUGAAGAAGGCCUUCGGGUUGUAAAGCACUUUCAGUCAGGAGGAAAGGGUGUGAGUUAAUACCUCAUAUCUGUGACGUUACUGACAGAAGAAGCACCGGCUAACUCCGUGCCAGCAGCCGCGGUAAUACGGAGGGUGCGAGCGUUAAUCGGAAUUACUGGGCGUAAAGCGUACGCAGGCGGUUUGUUAAGCGAGAUGUGAAAGCCCCGGGCUCAACCUGGGAACUGCAUUUCGAACUGGCAAACUAGAGUGUGAUAGAGGGUGGUAGAAUUUCAGGUGUAGCGGUGAAAUGCGUAGAGAUCUGAAGGAAUACCGAUGGCGAAGGCAGCCACCUGGGUCAACACUGACGCUCAUGUACGAAAGCGUGGGGAGCAAACGGGAUUAGAUACCCCGGUAGUCCACGCCGUAAACGAUGUCUACUAGAAGCUCGGAACCUCGGUUCUGUUUUUCAAAGCUAACGCAUUAAGUAGACCGCCUGGGGAGUACGGCCGCAAGGUUAAAACUCAAAUGAAUUGACGGGGGCCCGCACAAGCGGUGGAGCAUGUGGUUUAAUUCGAUGCAACGCGAAGAACCUUACCUACACUUGACAUACAGAGAACUUACUAGAGAUAGAUUGGUGCCUUCGGGAACUCUGAUACAGGUGCUGCAUGGCUGUCGUCAGCUCGUGUUGUGAGAUGUUGGGUUAAGUCCCGCAACGAGCGCAACCCCUAUCCUUAGUUGCUAGCAGGUAAUGCUGAGAACUCUAAAGGAGACUGCCGGUGAUAAACCGGAGGAAAGGUGGGGACGACGUCAAGUCAUCAUGGCCCUUACGUGUAGGGCUACACACGUGCUACAAUGGCGCAUACAGAGUGCUGCGAACCUGCGAAGGUAAGCGAAUCACUUAAAG
rnacentral:rRNA from 1 species